rnacentral:rRNA from 1 species
UACGGGGGGAGCAAGCGUUGUCCGGAAUUAUUGGGCGUAAAGGGCUCGUAGGCGGUUUGUCGCGUCGGGAGUGAAAACUCAGGGCUUAACCCUGAGCCUGCUUCCGAUACGGGCAGACUAGAGGUAUGCAGGGGAGAACGGAAUUCCUGGUGUAGCGGUGAAAUGCGCAGAUAUCAGGAGGAACACCGGUGGCGAAGGCGGUUCUCUGGGCAUUACCUGACGCUGAGGAGCGAAAGUGUGGGGAGCGAACAGG